AUAGCGUAUAUUAAAGUUGUUGAGGUUAAAAAGCUCGUAGUUGAACCUUGGGCCUAGCCGGCCGGUCCGCCUCACCGCGUGCACUGGCUCGGCUGGGUCUUUCCUUCUGGAGAACCGCAUGCCCUUCACUGGGUGUGCUGGGGAACCAGGACUUUUACUCUGAACAAAUUAGAUCGCUUAAAGAAGGCCUAUGCUCGAAUACAUUAGCAUGGAAUAAUAGAAUAGGACGUGUGGUUCUAUUUUGUUGGUUUCUAGGACCGAAGUAAUGAUUAAUAGGGAUAGUUGGGGGCAUUAGUAUUUAAUUGUCAGAGGUGAAAUUCUUGGAUUUAUGAAAGACUAACUUCUG
rnacentral:rRNA from 1 species